rnacentral:tRNA from 1 species
GGGGUUGUGGCUCAGUGGUAGAGCACUUGCCUGGUACAUAAGAGGCACUGGGUUCAAAUCUCAGAACUACA